rnacentral:rRNA from 1 species
UACGGAGGGUGCGAGCGUUGUCCGGAAUCAUUGGGCGUAAAGGGCGCGUAGGUGGCCCGGUCAGUCUUUGGUGAAAGCGCGGGGCUCAACCCUGCGUCGGCCAGGGAUACUGCCGCGGCUGGAGCACUGUAGAGGCAGGCGGAAUUCCGGGUGUAGCGGUGGAAUGCGUAGAGAUCCGGAAGAACACCGGUGGCGAAGGCGGCCUGCUGGGCAGCGACUGACGCUGAGACGCGAAAGCGUGGGGAGCAAACAGG